GUUAUUUACGUCAGAAUCCUGAUAUGGGAUUCUGAUUGAUAUCUAAAUUUCUGCUCGAAAGUCCAAAAUAAAGUUACCCAAACUGCGCUGAACAUCAGAAGCACCAGGGUGCUUUGAAAAAAACAGCUGUCAGAAAUCUGAAGGAUAGGGAGUGAUCAGUGGUGACCUAGGGCUGGGGUGGGAACAGAGCGUGACUGCAAGUAAGUAUAAAGAUGGCUUGAGGGUGACACAAGUGUUCUAAACGUGGACUGUGAUGAUCGUCCCAACUCUGCAAAUACACUACAAAACACUGAGUUGUACGCUUAAAAUGAGUAAAUUUCAUAAUAUAUGUAUCAAGCCUCAACAAAUGUGUCAUUUUAAAAAACACAAGGAAUAUAAAAGAUAAAGCCAAAGAAUCUACCUAUUCAGUGGCAGGAAAAAUAUAUUUAUACAGCAUUAUCCUCUCAUCUUAUGCAUAACCAAAAAAUUGUAGAAUUUAUAAAUUUGUAAAGCUUCUCAUAGAAAUUUAUAGAAUAUCACAACCCAAAACGUGGUUCCUCAGGGACCCCAGUCCACUCCAGUUACAGCCAUAUGCAUUUGUCUUUCUACCUUUCCAGGUUACUGUUGGAUACAGUCAGGUUUGAGAAUCCCCGAUGGAAAGUGGAAGAUGUAAUUCAAAAGUAUCUCAUCUCUCAUUUUAUCUUACCACUAGUCAUCAAGGAUCUUGUCGUAAAUUAAAAUUUUCUACCAAAAACAAUGAGAAUCAUGGUCAAAAUAGUAACUUAGGUGCCACGUGUGAGCCAGGAAAUUUAUAAGACAAAACCAUGAGUGUGGACCAUGAAAGAGCCAGCCUUGUUCCACUGCCACAGCUGGGACAACCGUUUGUGUCUACAGAAGAUCAAGCAGCCCUGUCACACUCUCGAAACGCUUCAUUCAGAGGCAGCCAGAUGUAUCAGAGGAAUGCCCCGCCCUGGGCCACCUACACACAGACUCAGAGCAUGCUCCGGGGCGAGCCCAGUCCUAGGCGUCGUCGAUCCCAACCUGCAUUUACUUUGGAAACAUGCUGUGGGGUCCAUACAAAGCCACAACAUCAUGCGCUGCACACUGCUGAGGCUACCAUCUUGCAGGAAUACCAGCUGAGCUGGGAAAGAUGAAAAUUCGAAGCAGCAAAGAGGGAAUUCGUCCACUGCACCUGGUUCUGGGAAAUGCUUGUGAAAUCUCCACGUUCUGCAAAGCAAAUGAGCUGCUUGGGAACAGAGUUAGGAAAACAAUUUAAAACAAAAUAAAUAAACAGAUCUCAGGAGAUCAGUGGUCUGGAAAGAAUUCCUCUGCGACAGUAACAAGCCCUGAAUAGAAACAGUAAGUAACUUUUCAACCAAUUGUAAUCCAAGCGUAAAACACUCAAACACAGGCCACAGCAUGCACACAGCUCUGUAGAACCACAGUGGUUCUGAAAAUCAGGAAGGCAUAUGCGACUCCUGAAACGGGUUCACCACCCCUGAGGAUUCAUCCCAGACAUUCUGUCCUCCCCGCGAGAGCCUGCCAACUCGGACUGAGCCUUCUUCCCCGGGGAAAAUACUGCUUUCCUAUGGUUAGGAUUAGAGAGAAAUGAAAUUCUAAAACUUCUCCA
rnacentral:lncRNA from 1 species